AGUCCUUGUUGAGAAAAUUGGAAGAAAAUUCCACAGCUCUGCAAUCCUGCCUUGUGGUCCACCAAUCCUACGACCCUUCUACUACUUACAUUAACGGUCCUUCUCUAUCCAACAACUCUGUUUUAGGCAAUGGUGAUUCGACACCCGAUGGUAGCCAUCACCUGGAAAUGAGUGGAACUGGAAGUAGCGGCAAUUGUGCUCUCGAUGAGGCUCGCUUGAGGUUAUAAGAACUCCGUCGCUUCUCUUCGCGCUGUGCUCGCCGCCGUUCCCAAUUCUCAAAAGGCAUUUCAAUUAGCUCAAAGAAUAAGGAAUCUUUUCUGCUCUUUUCUUUUUAAUCUCUGCUUCAUCUGCUGGAGAUUGAGAAAUUGGAACAGCUAGCCUCGAAUCUCAGAAAGGUAUUUUGCAGUGUAGUAAUGUUCAUAAUUUAAUAGUCUUCAGGUUUAUCCAUUUCACACUCCUUCAACAGUAGUGGCAAUGCCAUCCACUUUUAGAUGGGUACUGGAUUUGGCUAAGUGCUGGGGGUCAAAUUCAGAACCCGGCCUUACAUGAAUUCACCCCCAGGUUGACCUUGAUGAACUAUUUGAGCUAAACUUCGGGUUUGGCUGUUUUUACCUGUAAAUUUACCUCGUUCAGAAGGCAUAGAAAUAUGGAAUGGUAUCUUAUUUCAUGGUAGUGUUAACAAUGAGGCUUUUAGCCGAUCGUUUUCUUUCCUAUGCUGUGUAAUUUCGAAUCUUAAUCCAUGAAGGAAACACCUUUUAAUGUUCAUAGUUUUAUAGUCUUCUAGGUUAUGCAUUUCAUAUUACUUUGAACAGUAGUGUUAAUGUCCAUUCCUUAAGUAAGCCAAAGCCUAGGGAGGAAAAAGGGUUUUUGCAAGUACAGAGGAUCGAGAUUUAGACCAGUUGAGCUGGAUGAACUAGUUGGACUAAUUAUGAAGCCUUUAGCCGAUUAUUUUCUUUCCCGUUGUGGUUUAAUUUUGAACCUUAAUCCAUGAAGAAAACACCAACUAACAUCUGGAAAAAAGGAAGCUAAUCUCGUGGUUACGUUUAUAGGAGCUUGAAAUCGAGAACCAAUGUAUAAGGUUAAUUCGAUUCUUUUGGUUGCUGAAAAUGGUGCCUUGAGCUAGGAAUAUAAACCAAGAUGCCUGCAUACUGUCUUCAAAUCAUGAAUUUUAUCGAAUUUCAUUCAUUGACAUUGAUCUGCACUUUGUAACUUUGGAGGGCUCAAAAAUGGUGUUAUCAAAUGCCAAAUAUAUAUAUAUAUAUAUAAUACUCGAAUCCUUUUGUAACUUUCUCUUAUAACUUGUUGAGUAUCAAAAGACUAGUUUGAAGCAAACAUUAUGUACAAAGAAGUUUGAUUCAUUGUAAUGAUUACUUGUUUCAAGCAUAGAUAUGGGAAAAUUUUUUAUUUGCAUUUUUAGCA